AUACAGUGUAGAAUGUUUAUUUUCGCGCUCGCACGCGAUCAAUAAUACAACUUUCAACAACGGAUCUCUUGGCUCUCGCAUCGAUGAAGAACGCAGCGAAAUGCGAUACGUAAUGUGAAUUGCAGAAUUCAGUGAAUCAUCGAAUCUUUGAACGCACCUUGCGCCCCUUGGCAUUCCGAGGGGCACACCCGUUUGAGUGUCGUGAAAUCUUCAAAAACCCUCUCUUUUGAGGGGGAUUUUUGGACUUGGAGGUUCAAUGCUCGCUUUCGCCUUUUAGAAAGCGAGCUCCUCUCAAACGAAUCAGUGGGGUCUGCUUUGCCGGUCCUUGACGUGAUAAGAUCUUUCUACGUUUUGGAUUCGACAUCGUCCCGCUUCCAAUCGUCCCACGGACAAAGGAUGGUGCUCCGGUCGCGGCCGGACCCACCAAAAAAACCUUGACCUCAAAUCGGGUGAGACUACCCGCUGAACUUA
rnacentral:rRNA from 1 species